AGUUAUUUAGCUUAUAAUAAAGCAAGUAUUUUGAAAAUACUAGAAAGAUUUAAUUUAAUAACUU
rnacentral:tRNA from 2 species